rnacentral:lncRNA from 1 species
AGCACGAGGGCCCCGAUAGGCAACACAGACGAACAAAAGCUGUGCUCUGUGUACGAGUAGGUAGCCCCUUCGGAAAGACUUCUGUGGAGAACAGCAUGGCACACAGGUGCUGCGCAGGGCCCUCCUCUUGAGCACAGCUGACAGAAAUCCACCAGGUCCGUGCUGGUCUGUGCCCCACAGCUGUCUGCAGAGCAUGGUUGCUUCUUCCUUCAUGGGCGCAAGAGGCUGCUAGGACUAUGUUCCAGUAAAUGAGGUCUGCAGCUCGAGUCUCUCGCUCUAAUUCCCACCCGCGGACAUGCCAUCCAACCAGAGAGAAUGAGGGGACCACGCGGGGCUCACAGCCUUCCAGGACUGAGAGGGAUGGUAACAGGAAGUGUCCUCCCUCUAUCCUGAGACCCAGACGGCAAGAAUGUGGAUGCCACGGGGGUGAACCACAGAAAACUUCAAGGCAUGUGCGGUUCCGAGAGCCCCUGGAGGUGGCUGUCCACUACAUUGCCCGCAAGGACACGACAGCCGCCAUCAAGGGUGAGUUCUGAGGAGGAGCCCCCAUCAGCCAACAGGUCCUGGACCUCCACCUCCACCUCCACAGGGCAGAACCAGACACAGCCUCAAGCACACCACCCCUGUCCCCACAUACCAGCCACUCUAGACUCUAACUCAGUCUCCCCUGACUGCCCUAGAAGUGAUCCUAUCCUUACAGGGCCAUGCCCCAGGUUUCUCACAUGUGGGUGGGCAGGAGCACCCCUAAAUGGGUGCAGUCUUCCUUAGGCAGGGGAGGACAAGAGUCCAUGCGCCAUGGAUUCCAUGAUAUUCACCCCAGAGCCCUACCUGAUCAUCACCUUGAUGGCCAACUACAAGUUGACCAUCUACAAGUUGACAACUACACCCAGACAACUCACGUCUCCCUUCACAUCAUCCCCACCAGCAGAGGGUGCACUUUGCAGGGCCUCACUGGGGGUGGGGGUGGGGCUGCUGGACUGACCUGUCACCCUCCUACAGUCCCCAGCCGGCCAGCUUCCCAUGGUGGCUCUCCACUCCAGCCAGCAUCCCGCAGCGGCUCCCUAUUCCUGUGGCUGACACUGUGUGCUCUGCUUGGAGUGGUACUGGUCCUGUACUGUGGCCAGGCCAAACGUGUCACAGCAGCCCUGGAGGACCUCUUGGCUCAGCUCCUCGCCCUAAUCUUGCGCCUGUGGUGUGUGGUCCUUGCUUGUUGGCACUGACCCCUGCAGCUCUGACUUGAGGCUCAAUGGCGAUGUCACCUCAGGAGAGCACUGGAGGUUGAUGCUGUUGGGAGCCUGGAGUGGUUUGAAGGAUUGUGCAUGCUGGGGGAGCUCAGGCACUAAGGCUAACCCCAGGACAGAGUUCUGCUAGCCAAUGCUUGACAAACCCAGGAACUCUAAGAGGUUGCUAUCAACCUUUAAAUGGGAAAGGAGGGAGGUUCUGGCUCGAUGCUACAGGCACCUCCUACUCCAGUCAGCACGGGCUGGGAUCUUGGGAUUUUAAGACUGAAUCAGAGAAAGAACUCGACCAUUAUAGCCGGGAAUUCC